GGGCUCUGCUGUUUGCUCCGUCCCUCAGUUCACAUUGACAUCAUGCUGUCUCUGGGAGGUGGUGGCCAGCAUCCCGUGGCGUGGAAAAGGAAACUGAGGAGAGUUGUCCUGCGCAGGGUUCCACAGUUCAUAUCCUCAUGGGGUCGCUCAUUUAGUGCGGAGACCUGCCAGAGACCUUCCUCCUCCUCUUCUCCUUUUGCUUUUAUGGAGCCAAAGUAGUUUCGGUCUGAAAACCAUGAUGAAUUUAACAUAGAUCAAGAAGAGCCACAGAAGCAAUUUUUCUCAUCCGAGAUGGGGUGGGUGCUUCGAUUUUAUGCCAUUCGUCUACCUUGUCGCUCACUGCAGAGAAAACGUUCUAACACUGUCCUCUGUGGCCUCAAGCCACUUCCCUGAGGCUGUUAGACUAAAAACACAGAAAACCAGAGAAAUUAAAAAUACGCUCAGAGCCUGAGUGAAAUUGAACGGUAGUCAGAGGCAGGGAUUCAUUCAGUUGGUUACUUUAAAUAAUUCACUCCAGAAAAAGACUGGAUGAGUACGUGUGUGUGUGUGUGUGUGUGUGUGUGUGUGUGUGUGUGUGUGUGUGUAUAGAUAUAUAUAUAUACGUAAACUUCAACUUCAGUGCUCAGAGAUGAAUGCACCAAAUUAUACAAGCCUCACAGAGUUUGAGGACUGGAAGGAGAUAAGGAAAUCAGUCAUUAGAGCAAGUCAAGACUGGUAACUUGUUUCUGCGGAGCUACUUCUGAAUCUCCUCAAAUUUCAUGGUCACCAGAGACAUAAUUCUUGGUGUGGUUGGAGAAGGAAAGGGUGGGGUUUACUGUGUUGUCAUCUGCCUGCUUUCACGUCUCACAAGUCUCCCCACCACCUGUCCCAGCAUUCCCAUGAACACCAGCUUCAGGAGAUUCUUCCCUGAAAAACUUUAUCUGGUCUCGCCUGUUUGGGAAAUGCUACGCCUGGGUAGUUGCAAUGUGCAUCCACAUACUAAAUGCUGCUGCACUGAGGAGUCCUGGAAUCAAGAAAACCUCACUGACUUUAAGUCUAAUUCCCAGUCUUACUUUGCGAUGGUGUCAGGUAGGACACAGCUGCAAGGGACAGAAACGCUUACGCAAAGCUGGGAUAAACAAUCAGGACACUGAUAUUUCACAAAGCAGGUGUUUAGAGAUGCAGGGCAGGCUCUGGAGGCAUCCUCAUGUUUUUCUACCCCGGCAUCCUCAGUGCCAGCUUUCUCCUCAGACAGUCAUGAGAUGGCCUGAUACAGGGCAGAGGAAGAACAACCACCAUUUCCUCAUGAGAAGAAACUUUCCCACAAGGCCCCUGGCGUUCAUUCUGGUCUCGUUGGCCACAAUCAGGUCACAUGUCCUGAACUGUCAAAAGGAACAGCCUUUCCCUCCCAUCAGUGCCCCUCAGGCUGGUGGAGGGUCAGCUUCCCUGUGA
rnacentral:lncRNA from 1 species